GACAGAGGGUGCAAACGUUGUUCGGCAUUACUGGGCGUAACGCGCGUGUAGGCGGCUCUGCAAGUCGGGUGUGAAAUCCCAUGGCUCAACCAUGGAAGUGCACUCGAAACUGCAGGGCUAGAGUCCUGGAGAGGAAGGUGGAAUGCUUGGUGUAGAGGUGAAAUUCGUAGAUAUCAAGCGGAACACCGGUGGCGAAGGCGGCCUUCUGGACAGUGACUGACGCUGAGACGCGAAAGCGUGGGGAGCAAACAGG
rnacentral:rRNA from 1 species